GGACCUACGGGGCGCAGCAGUGGGGAGUAUUGCACAAUGGGCGAAAGCCUGAUGCAGCAACGCCGCGUGAGCGAUGAAGGCCUUCGGGUCGUAAAGCUCCGUCCUCAAGGAAGAUAAUGACGGUACUUGAGGAGGAAGCCCCGGCUAACUACGUGCCAGCAGCCGCGGUAAUACGUAGGUGGCGAGCGUUAUCCGGAAUGAUUGGGCGUAAAGGGUGCGCAGGCGGUCCUGCAAGUCUGGAGUGAAACGCAUGAGCUCAACUCAUGCAUGGCUUUGGAAACUGGAGGACUGGAGAGCAGGAGAGG
rnacentral:rRNA from 1 species